ACAACGGAGAGUUUGAUCCUGGCUCAGGACGAACGCUGGCGGUGUGCUUCACACAUGCAAGUCGAACGGGGUAGCAAUACCCAGUGGCGGACGGGUGAGUAACGCGUAGAAAUCUGCCUUGAGAUGGGGGAUAACAGUCCGAAAGGAUUGCUAAUACCGCAUAUGUAUGUGCUCGGACACGAGCGUAUAUGAAAGGAGUAAUCCGUCUUAAGAUGAGUCUGCGUCCGAUUAGCUAGUUGGUAGG
rnacentral:rRNA from 1 species